CAUUAUGCUGUAUCGUUUAUUUCGAUGUGUCGCAAAUCACACUCUUUACGGCAAUAUGUUUCGUCAAUUGGACAACACUUUGCGUGCCGUGUGGAAGGAAAUGUGCAACACUAACAAACAUGGAGGAGAGUGAAUGUGACACAGAGCACGGAGACACAGACCUCGUACCUAAAGGAGGGGUCACAUGGACGUGGUUUGGGUAUGAAAAGUCUGACACAGACUAGAAAACCGCCUUCUGCAAAAUAUGCCGCAGGCCGGUCCUGACAACAGGCUCAAACACCACUAACCUCUUUCACCACCUACGCAAGAAUCACGUGAAACAGUACGGAGAGAGUCUACGGAUGAGACCCCAAAAAGUAGAGUUGAGUGCUCAAAACAAACCCCCGACUCAGACGCUGCAAGAGGAUUUUUCCCGCGGCACAUCAUAUGGCAAGGAAUCACGAAGAUGGAAGGAGAGGACUGCUCCAAAGCACGCCAAUUUGCAAAAAAAGCUGGGGAAAAAACUCAAAUGUGGAAAGCACUUUGAAAUGGAGGCACGACCACACACCAUCCCAGCUCGUUACCAGACUGGUUGUUCUGAUGACAGCAGCACAACUGAUAAAGAUGAGUUCUUUAUGGAACCCUGCUUUCCAGAGAAAACUUGACGUUUACCUCUACCACCCAGAUGUCAGGACACAAAUGAAGAUAUCCCGCAAAAAAGAAAAGCCUACAAAGUGUCCAGUGAACCACAAACUGUGUCAUGCAGUGAGUAUUGAGAGGAACCAACAUUUGGGACAGUGACCUACACUCUAUGGCCAAAGGUCUACCAGCCAAAACAACAACUGGCGGAGUAGCGCUACCUGCAGCAUCCAGUCUCCAACAAAAGGAAUCUGCAUCCACAAGUGCCGUGCAGUCUCAGGAGAUAAUUGCAAUGAUGUCUUGUUAGUACUGUACAUGUUCAUCUGUGAUUUAACAGUACUUUGGUCAAAAUAGCAACUCCCCUUUAAUCCUUUCUGCUUAAACCCCUUGUUUAAUUACUAUGUGUUAUGUGUCUCUGUUCUAAUCAAUGAUGUCUUGCUAAGAAUUCCAGACACAGAUACUUAUGAAGCUAGACAUUAUAAUUGCUAAUCAGCAAGAGCAACUGAGGCUCCUUAAUGCUACAAGGCCAUCGACCACAGCUGAGGACCUCGACAUUCUGCAAUCACCGUUAGACUCUGUGGCUGACCUGAAGCUACUGUGUAGCGGAUCUCAACAGAGGAGAAUCUUCGCAAACAAUUGACCACAGCACCUGAAAUAAUGGAGAGAGACAGAAGGAGCACAAGCACAGAGUCGACCCUAAAGCUUUUUGACUAAAGAGGACAUUUUUAUUAAAUGUCCAGUGGGAAAAAGGGAAAUAAUGUAAUUCAUGGCUAAUCCAAUUAUAGUUCAUCAAGAGUUAGUAAUUAACAGUUAUGUAUUGCAUUUUGUAUUUCCUUGUUGGUUAAAUAAAUCAAAUGUUAUCUAUAAUAGUCCCCUUUUCAGUCA